rnacentral:lncRNA from 1 species
CGCAUUCUCAGCGCUGUUUCAUUGCCUCAAGAGCUACAGAUGGCUUCCCCAAGCACCUGAAGUCGAUGCUGCUUGCCUGGAUGGAAUAAGCUGCAAGCUGCAGAAACUCUUGUCUUUUCACAGUGGAACUCAGACUCCAGUUUCUUUCUGCCUUGAGAGUGAAAGAAAGGAGAAGACACAGAGUAGGAAAGAGCCAGAAGGUGGAGAAAUUAAUGUUUAAUGCUUGAUACUCCCGGGGCCUGGCCAGCUGCUCAAAAAAAGGACCCAAGAAAAAUCGUGUUAUCUAAGAGAGCAGUUAUUCUGACACAGACUGAUAUCAGGUGCCUGUGGCAUGAAACACGGAAGAGAAUAAUAGCAUCUACCUUAUAAGAAGACAUACUAUAUUCUGGACCACAUAUCUGAUAAUUCUUACAGCCCUUUAAAGAUAAUCAUAACUAGAAUAUUAUCUUAUUUUGUAGCUCAUAGAUGUCAAAAGACUAGCUCAUAAUUUUAUUGCGGAUACAUAGCAGAACCAAGAUUUGAACUCAGACCUGUCUCAUUCCACAACUCAUUUUCCUUGAAGUCAAUAGAUGCCACUGAUCUCUAAAUACCUACAAAAGGGGCUCGGAGGUGGAGAGGGGAUGUCUGAGGAGCCUUAGGACUACCACCCAAUGUUCUGUCUUUAGAUAGAGAUGCUAUCACCAAUCUCUCUUUCACACAUACUCCUCCUCUUCUCAUUUCUGUUCGUGUACUUGGUUCUCAGUGUAAGAUUUUGUUAGAAGAAAGAGGCAUGUUGGUAAAAUAAGAAAUAAUAUAUCAAAAAUAAAAUAAAAUUGUUUGAAAGUCU